rnacentral:rRNA from 1 species
GACAGCAGCCGCCGCGGGAAUACGGAGGGUGCGAGCGUUAAUCGGAAUUACUGGGCGUAAAGCGUACGCAGGCGGUUUGUUAAGUCAGAUGUGAAAUCCCCGAGCUUAACUCGGGAACUGCAUUUGAAACUGGCAGGCUAGAGUCUUGUAGAGGGGGGUAGAAUUCCAGGUGUAGCGGUGAAAUGCGUAGAGAUCUGGAGGAAUACCGGUGGCGAAGGCGGCCCCCUGGACAAAGACUGACGCUCAGGUGCGAAAGCGUGGGGAGCAAACAGGAUUAGAUACCCGUGUAGUCCCUGUCUCUUAUAC